rnacentral:tRNA from 1 species
GACGUUGUAGCUCAGCCUGGUAGAGCAGCGGGCCUUUGCCUGCCGGUCGGGGGUUCGAAUCCCUCCAGUGUCA